UACGGGGGGAGCAAGCGUUGUUCGGAUUUACUGGGCGUAAAGGGCGCGUAGGCGGUCAGCACAAGUCAGUUGUGAAAUCUCCGGGCUUAACUCGGAAAGGUCAACUGAUACUGUGCGGCUAGAGUGCGGAAGGGGCAACUGGAAUUCUUGGUGUAGCGGUGAAAUGCGUAGAUAUCAAGAGGAACACCUGCGGCGAAGGCGGGUUGCUGGGCCGACACUGACGCUGAGGCGCGAAAGCCAGGGGAGCGAACGGG
rnacentral:rRNA from 1 species